rnacentral:rRNA from 1 species
AGAUUGAACGCUGGCGGCAUGCCUUACACAUGCAAGUCGAACGGCAGCACGGGAGCAAUCCUGGUGGCGAGUGGCGAACGGGUGAGUAAUACAUCGGAACGUGCCCAGUAGUGGGGGAUAACCCGGCGAAAGCCGGACUAAUACCGCAUACGACCUACGGGUGAAAGCAGGGGAUCGCAAGACCUUGCGUUAUUGGAGCGGCCGAUGUCAGAUUAGCUUGUUGGCGGGGUAAAAGCCCACCAAGGCGACGAUCUGUAGCUGGUCUGAGAGGACGACCAGCCACACUGGGACUGAGACACGGCCCAGACUCCUACGGGAGGCAGCAGUGGGGAAUUUUCCACAAUGGGCGAAAGCCUGAUGGAGCAACGCCGCGUGCAGGAUGAAUGCCUUAGGGUUGUAAACUGCUUUUAUAUGUGACGAUUAUGACGGUAGCAUAUGAAUAAGGAUCGGCUAACUCCGUGCCAGCAGCCGC